GUUCCCGUAGCUUACACCCCAAAGCAUGACACUGAAGAUGUCAAGACGGCUGCCAUGCACCCGAGAACA
rnacentral:tRNA from 1 species